UACGUGCGACCAAGGAUGUAAAGAUUGCUACACAGCGGAUACUAGCCAAGUUGCUGACAGAUAAGUAUGCAUCGUCAUACAACUGGAUUGGUUCAAGAGGACCGAAGUCACCUUUUUCAAAAUCAUGGAUGAAGCACAUUAUAUAUGAGGCAAUUCAAGGACUGGAAAACUUGGGCAACGCUGACGACGACGAGAUUUGGGAAGCAAUUAAAAAUUGGCUCAAAAAUUCCAACAAGCGUAUUGAAUCGGAUAGGAAAAAGUUGGAGAAGUCCAAUGCAGCUCUUCCAUUAAGAAAUACUGGACCAGAAUCAGACAAUUGAUUUUUUUCACAAUUUUUUAUUGUUAUUUGGAUUUAAAACUUUAUGUAAUGUUAAUGGUCAGUAAUAAAUCAUAAUUCCCGCAUCUAA